GGAUGCCAUCUGGCUUGACGAAUUCCUCAGCUGUCUUUUAAAGACUAAUGGAUACAUUGUUUGCUUCAAUAAGGAACAAAGUUCUUCAUUACAUUGAUAAUAUUUUACUACCCACGGUAACUGAAGAAUGCUUAGAAUUAUUAAAGGAAGUGUUACAGACUUACAGAUUAUAUGAGAAGCAGGACUUACUUUGAAUUUGGAAAAAUGCUAUUUCUUACAGGACAAAAUUGAUUACCUCUGUUAUGAAACAACUGAACAAAAAAAAUCCGUCCAGGAAGCAACUUUUGAUGUAUAUAAAUGAAUUAAGAAAAACGUUCCGUAGUAUUGGAAAUCUGCUCAACAAAACGCAUUUGAUUAUCUUUGUUAUAUUGACGAGUCGACCAAUACUCUCGAUAUUUCACCGAACAGGAAAUAAUAUCGAAGUUCAUACUGACGCAAGCAGUAAGGGUGUGGCUGGCAUUCUGAUGCAGAAACAAGAACGUGGAUUCAAGCUUAUUAAGAAGAGUAAAAUAAGAGUAUUUUAAAGUAGAAAGUUUUGUAUGAAGAAUCUAUGUACCAUUCCUACGGAUUGUAAACUUUAACCGUUGUGAAGUCAUUAAGAAGAUUUCGAAUAUAUCUAGUAGGUGAUCAUUUUAAAGUAAUUACAGAUAUUGCGCAGCAGUGCAUUAUAUCUAUUCGAAAACGAAUUUGGUGUCAAGGAUAUCAAAAUGGUGGCUAUUUCUCCAGGAAUAAGAUAUGGUGGUCGAGCAAAGAUCUGGCAAGUCGCAUAGUCAUGUAGCUAGACAUUCAUAUCGUAGAUAUUUUGAUUGGAUAGUUUGAUAAAAUUCGUAUGAUAAAAUUGGCGUUGAUCCCGAUAUUAAAAAUAAUUUAAAAUUAAGGAAGAUAAGAUUUAUAGAACUAAGAUGGAAAGGAAAGACUGGUAAUACCGAAAUACGGAAGAUAGAACAUAAUGAGGAUUAAGGAAGUACCAUGAUUGCGUAGGACAUCCAAGGUUAAAAUGUGAGGGUACCAUAAAAAGUCAUUUUUGGGUUACCAGAACGGCGAGGUUGUUGUGUAGAUGAUAUUUAUAAAAUGAGUUAAUAUGGAAAAGUGGAAGGUGAGCUGCAGAUAGAAACCUGAAUGUUAGACGAAAAUUAAAGGGAAAAUAUAGUGGACCUUACAAAAUUCCUAAAGAAGUCGGCAAUUAUAGAUAUGUAAUUAAAUCUCUGAAAGGUAUGAACGAUUAUAAAACUUUGGUGCUUUGGUUUCGUCGGACUUCCUAAAAAGAUUCGAAGCAGAAGUUAACUCCUCUUCGAGCGGUGAAGAUAAUGAGGUUCAUGGUACAGAAGGAAUUAAUUGGAUUAAUUAAUUAAUGGAAUGAUUGAAGAUAAAAACUGAAAGAAUUAAAUAAUCGAAUUGUUGGAAGGCUAGAAAUUGAUUAAUUGGUUAAAAAAAAAAGUUUAAUGGUUAAAAAAAUGGCUAUGAUUGAUUGGUAUAUUGGAAAUGGUUUAAAAAAAAGGGUUUAAUGGUUAAAAAAAAUGGCUAUGAUUGAUUGGUAUAUUGGAAAUGGUUUUAAAAAAAAUGUUGGUUGGAAAUGGUUCCAAAAAUGGUUAUGAUUGAUUGAUAUAUUGGAAAUGGUUUAAAAAAAUGUUGGUUGGAAAUGGUUCCAAAAAUGGUUAUGAUUGAUUGGUAUUAUUGAAAAUGGGUUAAAAAAAUGUUGGUUGGAAAUGGUUAUGAUUGAUAUAUUGGUUAUUGGAAAUGGUAAAAAAAAAAAAAAAUGGAAAAAAGAAUAUGGUUAUGAUUGAUAUUAUGGUUAUUGGAAAUGGUAAAAAAAUGGUUAUGAUGAGAUUAUGGUUAUUAUGAUUGAUUUAUUUAUUGGGUAUAGUAAAAUAGUCGCAAUGGUUGUGACAAAUUGGUUUAUGGAAAACAGUUGUAAGAGUUAUGAAUUUAGUUAAUCUUUAUGAAGUUGGUUGAGUUUCACAGCAGUUUUAUGGAAACGAUUGAUUGUUAUGAAUUCUUAUGGAUAUAGUUACAUGGGUUGUUUAAGUUAUUAACUUAUUCGCUUCUAGUAAAGUAAUUCUGGUUAAAUAUAAUUUUGGGUAUAAAGGAGAUUUUUCAUCACUGUAUGCGGCCUGGGCUAGAACUUCGUAGGAUAUACUUGGAUAUAGUCCAGAAAACAAUGAACAGUUUUAAACUAUAUUAUAUUUUCUAUAAAAUGGCUUUGUUUGGUAGUAACAAGUUUUCAUACAUUUUAACGAGUAUAUUGAAAGAAUAUAAAAAGUCAAUGCGGAAAUAUGUUUUAAAAUAUUUACGAAAUAAAAUUUUUGCACACUUCUCUUUGCAGGGUCGCAAAGCGAGUCAGGAUGGACGAGUGUCAAAAUGACAUUCCAAUGUGGCUGACAAGCACGGGACCCAGAGCUAUUCGAGCGCCAUAUUGGAACGAUGUGGCUAUAUAAGACCUGUAGCUUAAGGUCUGAAGGCAGUCUACGCUGAAAUUUUGGAAGAAAUAGUGCAAGUGUUAUAGUGUUUCGUGGUGGUUAGAAAAAGCUAAGUAUAUUAACUAUUUGGUUACUUUAAUAUUAGAAUUUUGAGGUUUUAUCCACAUUGUGUAAAUUGGUUAUUGUUGGUUAAAAUGAUUUUCUCUGGAUUUCCAUCGGAAAUAAUUGUGUGAUUAAAAUGAAUUUCAAAUAACGUAAUUUUGCUAGUUCUGUAAAACUAAUAAGUUUGUCCCGCCAUUUUUAUUAUUGGUGGAAUUAGAUUACAAAGGCGGUAGUAAUGAACUUUGGUUAAUAAUGUUAAAAUAAAUACAGUUACAUAACCUAAAAUAAAAACCACGUGUUAAUAAUUUAUUAACUUUGUUGAUUAUUUGAUUAUAUCAUAAGAGAUGGAGUCAGUUAACCUAAAAUAAAACCACGUGUUGAUAAUUUAUUUGCUUUGUUGAUUAUUUGAUUAUAUCAUAAGAGAUGAAAUUACCUAACCUAAAUUAGCACACGUGGUGAUAGUGUACUUGCUUUGUUGAAUGUUCUGAUUAUAUUAGUGUUAUUAUAUGAAUUGCAUUUACCUGUUGAAAUGAGAAUUUUGAAUAGAUGAAUUUAAUGAAGUGGAACAUAAAGGAAAAUAUGGGAGAAAUAUAUAAUUAAUUACUGGU